rnacentral:rRNA from 1 species
UACAGAGGGGGCAAGCGUUGUCCGGAAUCAUUGGGCGUAAAGCGCGCGUAGGCGGCCCCGUAAGUCCGCUGUGAAGGUCAAAGGCUCAACCUUUGAAAGCCGGUGGAAACUGUGGGGCUAGAGUCCGGAAGAGGCGAGUGGAAUUCCUGGUGUAGCGGUGGAAUGCGCAGAUAUCAGGAGGAACACCAAUAGCGAAGGCAGCUCGCUGGGACGGUACUGACGCUAAGGCGCGAAAGCGUGGGGAGCGAACAGG